rnacentral:rRNA from 1 species
GAGUUUGAUUAUGGCUCAGGAUGAACGCUAGCUACAGGCUUAACACAUGCAAGUCGAGGGGCAGCAUGAAUAUUGGCUUGCCAAUAUUUGAUGGCGACCGGCGCACGGGUGAGUAACACGUAUCCAACCUUCCGGUUACUCGGGGAUAGGCUUUCGAAAGAAAGAUUAAUACCCGAUGUUGUGUAUCUUUCUCCUGAUUGAUACGCCAAAGGAUUCCGGUAACCGAUGGGGAUGCGUUCCAUUAGGCAGUUGGCGGGGUAACGGCCCACCAAACCUUCGAUGGAUAGGGGUUCUGAGAGGAAGGUCCCCCACAUUGGAACUGAGACACGGUCCAAACUCCUACGGGAGGCAGCAGUGAGGAAUAUUGGUCAAUGGACGGAAGUCCUGAACCAGCCAAGUAGCGUGAAGGAUGACUGCCCUCUGGGUUGUAAACUUCUUUUAUACGGGAAUAACAUGAGGUACGGGUACCUUAUUGCAUGACCGUAUGAAUAAG